AUUCCUGUGUAUUUGAGGCCUUCUGAAGACCCAGUAAAGCAAAGAAGACUUGGUUCCUGGUGGGUCCGAGCACAGCUAACACAAGUCUCCUUUUGCUUCUUUCUGGCUAUGGCACAAAAACACAACCAGAGUCCAGUUCCUCAGACCUCCAGAAUCACAACCUAGGAAGUUUCCAGCUCUGCCUCUGGUCUGGGAUUUCACUCUGCUCAGCUGGGUUAAAAGAGGAAAGGAUCUCAGGUGAAUACAACUUCUGAUUUAUUACACGUGGUUGGAGCUGAGGAAGAUGUGUGAGAAGGGGAAGAUGGCACAUCUGGUACUGGUUCCCAUGCAGAGCCAAAUUCCAGCUGACUUUGAGUCAAGAUCACAAGGAAAAAUCCUCAUUCCUUUUUCCUUGCCUUCUGAUGAAAGACUCAGACAGCGUCUGCACCUGACCUAUACUGCUCAGCUCCUGGAGGAAUAGCCAUUUUGUAGCAAGACAUUUUUGAAGCUGAGAUUCAUGUGGUGCUUGCUGGCUUUUGCUGUUUGCUGACAAGUGAAAUUACGGAGGAAAAUAAUCACUUCUUGUUGAGUCCUGAGAGAUGUCCUGUGAGUAGUAGCAGCUGUGCUGAGUUGUUGGAGCUGGCAGAACUCAUCCAUCUCUCUUUUUCCUGUCCUUUUAAACCAGUGCUUGUUUAGGGUCAAAUCUUCCUGCAACUACAAAGAAAAUUCCCACUGAAAAUGGGUGCCUUCAUCUGAGUUUUAUUCCUAAAACUGUUUUCUUAGUACUGACAGUUUGAUAAAUGUUAUUUAUGUUAUAUAACUAAAUGUUAUUUAGUGCAUUUUUUUAAGUGUAUGGAGUGCAGUAUUUGCAGUUAUAUGCCAGCAUAGAAAGUUGCAGCACAGGAGAUGAAUGAUCCACCACAUGAAGCCUUGUUUCCUGCAAUUUUCUCACAACCCUGUACUCCUGUGCUGAUUUGCAUUUAUACUUGCCCUUGCAGUGGGGGAACUGCAAAUACAGCUCCCCUGUUUUAAGAAGCCUGCAACUCUCAUUCAGCUGUGGGGAGCUGGUACAGCCCAGCAUUGCCAGCAGCAUGUGGAGCUGCAGAUUCUACUCCUCCUAGCUUAUCCAGACUCCUCCAGUAAGUGCCACCACUUUCACUAGCAGCAAUAAACCCCAUCCUUUGAGCUGUGCUCAGUGGAAACCAAACCCAUGACAUUACUGCCAACAGGUCUUAUUCAUGCCUGUGAGGGGUUUAGCAGCCCUAUUGCUGCUUUUUGUACAUGCAGGAAUCUUGAAGUAUGUUUCUAAAGCUGCAGUCUAAUAGCAGAUCUCAUCCUUGACAUCAGACCUAUUCCUUUUUCCUAUCUUUUUCAUUCCCUUUCAAACGAUAUGAGAAUGAUCCAUAGUUGCUCUCUUGAAGCAGCCAUAUGGCCAGCAAUAUGUUAUUAAUGCGUGUACUUUCCUUUUUUCCCCUCUCAUCAGCACUACUACAUCAGGAAAUCUAAGCAGUCCCA